ACGGGUGAGUAACACGUGGGAACGUACCCUUUUCUACGGAAUAACCCAGGGAAACUUGGACUAAUACCGUAUGUGCCCUUCGGGGGAAGGAUUUAUCGGAAAAGGAUCGGCCCGCGUUGGAUUAGCUAGUUGGUGGGGUAAAGGCCUACCAAGGCGACGAUCCAUAGCUGGUCUGAGAGGAUGAUCAGCCACAUUGGGACUGAGACACGGCCCAAACUCCUACGGGAGGCAGCAGUGGGGAAUAUUGGACAAUGGGCGCAAGCCUGAUCCAGCCAUGCCGCGUGAGUGAUGAAGGCCUUAGGGUUGUAAAGCUCUUUCACCGGAGAAGAUAAUGACGGUAUCCGGAGAAGAAGCCCCGGCUAACUUCGUGCCAGCAGCCGCGGUAAUACGAAGGGGGCUAGCGUUGUUCGGAUUUACUGGGCGUAAAGCGCACGUAGGCGGAUCGAUCAGUCAGGGGUGAAAUCCCAGAGCUCAACUCUGGAACUGCCUUUGAUACUGUCGAUCUGGAGUAUGGAAGAGGUGAGUGGAAUUCCGAGUGUAGAGGUGAAAUUCGUAGA
rnacentral:rRNA from 2 species